GUAGGUGAACCUGCGGAAGGAUCAUUAAUACGUUAUCAACGUACUAAUAACCCAAUUGUGAAUUUUGUAUCUUUCCUUUUUGGAUUGGAGGAUUUCUGCGAUGUGUUUCUUAAGCAUGGUGAAUUUCUUAAUCGGUUUUCAUUAGAAACUUUACAUCGGUCCUAGCAUACACUUCGGUGUUUUGUUAGCUCUUCCAAAAAGUGUAUUUUUUAUUUUCCAUGCUUUUUUCUAAAAUUUAAACCCCAAGUAC
rnacentral:misc_RNA from 1 species